AGGUUGAUAUUCCUGUACCACCUCCUCACCAUUUGAGCAAUGGGGGGACGCAGGAGGAUAGGGUAAGCGCGGUAUUGGAUAUCCGCGUCCAAGCAGUUAGGCUGGGAAAUAGGCAAAUCCGUUUCCCAUAAGGCUGAGCUGUGAUGGCGAGCGAAAUAUAGUAGCGAAGUUCCUGAUCCCACACUGCCAAGAAAAGCCUCUAGCGAGGUGAGAGGUGCCCGUACCGCAAACCGACACAGGUAGGCGAGGAGAGAAUCCUAAGGUGAUCGAGAGAACUCUCGUUAAGGAACUCGGCAAAAUGACCCCGUAACUUCGGGAGAAGGGGUGCUCUGUUAGGGUGCAAGCCCGAGAGAGCCGCAGUGAAUAGGCCCAGGCGACUGUUUAGCAAAAACACAGGUCUCUGCGAAGCCGUAAGGCGAAGUAUAGGGGCUGACGCCUGCCCGGUGCUGGAAGGUUAAGAGGAGCGCUUAGCGUAAGCGAAGGUGCGAAUUGAAGCCCCAGUAAACGGCGGCCGUAACAAUAACGGUCCUAAGGUAGCGAAAUUCCUUGUCGGGUAAGUUCCGACCCGCACGAAAGGCGCAACGAUCUGGGCACUGUCUCAACGAGAGACUCGGUGAAAUUAUAGUACCUGUGAAGAUGCAGGUUACCCGCGACAGGACGGGAAGACCCCGUGGAGCUUUACUGCAGCCUGAUAUUGAAUGUUGGUACAGCUUGUACAGGAUAGGUAGGAGCCUUGGAAACCGGAGCGCCAGCUUUGGUGGAGGCAUCGGUGGGAUACUACCCUGGCUGUAUUGACCUUCUAACCCGCCGCCCUUAUCGGGCGGGGAGACAGUGUCAGGUGGGCAGUUUGACUGGGGCGGUCGCCUCCUAAAAGGUAACGGAGGCGCCCAAAGGUACCCUCAGAAUGGUUGGAAAUCAUUCGCAGAGUGUAAAGGCACAAGGGAGCUUGACUGCGAGACCUACAAGUCGAGCAGGGACGAAAGUCGGGCUUAGUGAUCCGGUGGUUCCGCAUGGAAGGGCCAUCGCUCAACGGAUAAAAGCUACCCCGGGGAUAACAGGCUUAUCUCCCCCAAGAGUCCACAUCGACGGGGAGGUUUGGCACCUCGAUGUCGGCUCAUCGCAUCCUGGGGCUGUAGUCGGUCCCAAGGGUUGGGCUGUUCGCCCAUUAAAGCGGUACGCGAGCUGGGUUCAGAACGUCGUGAGACAGUUCGGUCCCUAUCCGUCGCGGGCGCAGGAAAUUUGAGAGGAGCUGUCCUUAGUACGAGAGGACCGGGAUGGACGCACCGCUGGUGUACCAGUUGUUCUGCCAAGGGCAUCGCUGGGUAGCUAUGUGCGGACGGGAUAAGUGCUGAAAGCAUCUAAGCAUGAAGCCCCCCUCAAGAUGAGAUUUCCCAUUCCGCAAGGAAGUAAGAUCCCUGAAAGAUGAUCAGGUUGAUAGGUCUGAGGUGGAAGUGUGGCGACACAUGAAGCUGACAGAUACUAAUCGAUCGAGGACUUAAUC
rnacentral:rRNA from 1 species